CCGUACGUCACGGGUCAAAGCAGACGGGUGGGAUUGGACACUUCCGUUGACCGGUAACCGGUGCUUUAUAAACGCUUCCCACAUAACUUAAAUUUCGCAAAUCAGAGCAAACGUAGAUAUUGUACAUCCGUAUGCAGCAUGACAUUAGUUCCAACUAGUGAGCAUGAAGUAGUAAAAGUGAUUAGAAGCCUGAGAUGUGAAAUGUCAGCAGAUACAAAAAAGAUGACUGAACCAGAUAUGGUACCGAGAGAGAACCCGAUGUUGAGACAAAGCUGGACGCUGUAUCCCAGUGACGAGCCUUUAUAUGAUCCAGGUGUUAGUGUUUGUCAUCCAUACCCAUUUGUUUCGUCUGCGAAAGUCAUCGAAAUCCCCAAUUUGUUGUCAGAACAGUUUUAAGUUUAGAGAUGACCCCCACAUCACUGUAUAAGGUUUAGGAAAGGACACCAUUCGUAGUGCCUGAAUUAUAUUUCAGUAAAGUUUUUGCACACUAUAAUUAUUGUUUCUGGUUGAAUAUUACUCAUAUGUGCAAAAUGUAAAAGUUUUGUAAAUUUAAAUUGAGAGAAAAUGUUGUAGCAUUGGAUUGUGGGAGAAAAGAAUUGAAAAUUUUUUUCUAUAAGAAUUUACUGUGUGCCAUCAAGCCCUAGCCAUUGACUAUUUGAUGUAACAGUAUAUAAUGUUAUAAUGUAAUCUUAGCUAUUUUGUUUAUUUGUGAAAGACUUCAGUUCAAAAUAGAUUUUAGUAAGAACUGUUUAGAUUUGACAGUGUCGGUGUAGCUUUUGAAAUCUUUCAUAACUAGCAAGUGUUUAGUAAAAACCGUAAAAUGUACUCGGGAGAAAUUUUAGGUUCUUAAGAGGGUGCGUAACACCGUGAGUCAAUACGCAAUAGCAUUUUAUUGCAGUAAGCUACUUUGAAGUGCGGGCUUGUAGCUUUGUAGUUGUUGGCGGUGGCAAUAUACAGCCACUGGUAUCUUAGUGACUCACUUGCACCUGUCACUAGCCUAGCCGUGGGAAGCGGUACCUGUUUCAAUUCAAGCAACAGAAUAUUCAAGCCCCUAAGAAUCUAAAUAAACUAUAUUAAACAUUAUUCAAUUUAGUUUAAAGUCAAUAUAUUGACCUUAUUAAAAAGAAGAUUGAGAGUUGGAGAAAAUUACCUAAAACACCCCAAACUGACACUGGUAAGAUUAAAGUCAGUCAGGGUUCGUAACAGUUUGUCUUUUAGUAUCAUGUGGAAUCAUUACUGAAGCUUAGAGCAUGUUAGGUCAAUUUGUUUAGAGUUUCAUAAAUAAAAAUGUUAACUAUUUGGCAUUUUUUGUAAUAUAAAAUUCAGGAAAGAUCAGUAUUUAUUUAAUGUGUUGUUGUGUGAGAAAAUAAGAAUGAGUGUGUGUAUGUGUGACAUAUGAAAAAAUUCAAUAUUAUCUCAUGUUACACCAUUAUGUAACUGUGUUGUGGGGAAGUUGUGUUUUACCCACAUUGCUGAUGACGUAUGUUUAAGUGUACUUGCUUUUGUAAGGAGGCAGCCAGAAUAGCCGUUUGCAGAGUAAUGUUUCUAAACUUAUUACGAGUUUAGUUUUCUUUCAGUUUGGUUUUGUUAAACAUUAUAUUAAUAUUUGCAUAUUGAAAUGAUGUAAAUGCAACUGGGAAUAGUGAUUGGCGUAGGACAGUUUUGGCGAGAGAAUAAUCUCGAAGGAUAGUUCUGAUUGGCUGGUCAUUUUCAUCAACCAAUCGGAGUUAAGUAGUUCCUGCGCACUGCUAAGUAGUUUUACUGGGAGAGAAGCAGACUGAACAGGAGUCGCUGGCUAGCUAUCGUACGUGCAGGUCAUGGUGGACGUGUCCGUCUACAUUAUGAGUACUGGUUUCUCGCCUCCGGAUGGUAUUGCUGUGGAAGCAGUUGCAUUUAUGGACAGAUUGUGAAAAUCUGAUCUUUGUGAAGCGAUCUGUUGGAUAGAUAAACGCGUGUGAACUUUCGUGGCAUGUUUCAUACCCGUUUAUGGAAUAGUUGGUGUGCAGCUUCCUUAUUAAAAAUCCACUGAAAAGGACCGAAUGUGAAACUCGUAUUUGUAGCAGAGUAAUGACUCUAAAUUGCGUAAUAAAUUGGGUCGGACUUAAGUGCAUGUCUGGCUGCCUUGCGUGUGUACUGAGUUUUCUGAACUGUGAGCUGAGGACAGUGAUAUUGUUUGUUAACUAAAUACAGGCUGAUGGCAAGUGUUUAUUUUGAACCUAAAAAAAUAAAAGAACUCGUUUGCUGAA